AAUGAUCCAGGAUGGGGGAAGGGGACAGGCUAUAGAAGAAAGUUGACGAUGAAUGAGCAAUUGCUGAAGCUAUAUGACAGGUUGCUAUCUUUGGAACAAGAAGACAACUUCUUGCCAAAUCAUCAAGAAGAAAAAGCAUUCUAAGGGCACAGCCUCUGUAAUCCAAACUGGAGACAAGAAGAGUCCCGUGAAGGAUGGGAUGUGGGAGGUGUUACCUUGCCCGUGAGGGACAGG